UAGACACCUGUACCAACCUGGAGAGAACACAGCAUUAUAUCAGGACCUAUAGACACCUGGACCAACCUGGAGAGAACACAGCAUUAUAUCAGGACCUAUAGACACCUGGACCAACCUGGAGAGAACACAGUAUUAUAUCAGGACCUAUAGACACCUGGACCAACCUGGAGAGAACACAGCAUUAUAUCAGGACCUAUAGACACCUGUACCAACCUGGAGAGAACACAGCAUUAUAUCAGGACCUAUAGACACCUGGACCAACCUGGAGAGAACACAGCAUUAUAUCAGGACCUAUAGACACCUGGACCAACCUGGAGAGAACACAACAAGAUGAAUAUCCUGCUGAUAGUCAUCCUCCUCGCCUUCAUCACAGGUUGUUUGAGCUCCUUCAAAGUGACAGGAUACUCUGGAGGAACUGUCAUCAUCUACUGUCAUUAUUACACAGAAGAAAGAAGUCAUGAGAAAUAUUUCUGCGUGGGGAAGUAUAGCUGGAGAUGUAAGGAUCAAAUCAGAACUGGAUUGAAGAACACCUGGGUACACAGAGGUAGAUUCUCUCUGUAUGACAACACUGGAGGAAACUACUUCAAGGUGAUCAUCAGACAACUGACCAGACAAGAUGAAGGGACCUACUGGUGUGGAGUGGACAAACCUACUAUACCUGACAGUUAUACCAAGGUAGAGCUGGAUGUGAAGGAGGAUGACUGCUGUAAGAAGUCAGUCACAGAGACGGCCUUUCUGGGAGGAGAAGCUACCAUCAGAUGUAACUAUCCAGAGGACCAUGAGGACAGAACCAAGUAUUUCUGCAAGGAAAGCAAUGACUUCAAGACCUGUGUUUAUAUGAUCUCUGCUAACCACAAAAGCUGUUUGUUUCUCUGUGUCUGACAACAGAAGAGAGAGAUUCUCCACAGUGACCAUCAGUGACCUGACUGAAGAUGAUACUGGGACCUACUGGUGUGGAGUAGAAACCAGCAGGACAGAACAACGUUACAUUACACUGAUCACACAGGUGAAGCUGCUUGUUAUAAUGGCACCAACCACCACGAGCACAGCCACAACAACUCCACCAACAAAGGAUCAGGAUCUAUCUCUUCAACACACAGAGUGAGUCCAGACACAGGAAACAACGAAGGGGGUUGUCAUGGUGACGGUGACUAUGAAGAGAUAAAGGAGCGCCCCCUAAGGUCAGACACAGGCGCUGCGAUGACCACCAUCUACGCCACCGCCAACUUACCCACAAGCCACUCUGAGUCUCUCCACUACACCUGCGUCUACAUCCACAAGAACCCCAGCGGCCCCAACGAAGCAACUGCCACCAUCACUAAAGAGGGCAGCUGCUCCAAUGAGGCCACCGCUGCCAUUGCUAAAGAGGGCACUUCAUCAUGUGACUAUGCUACUGUGAACUAUGGUCAAAGCCCCACCUACUCUACUGUCAAUCAUCCACACAGCUCCUCUGAGGCUCCUCCCAUCUACUCCACAAUCAGCAAACCCAGAGACACUUGAGUCACUGGCAACCAAUCACAAGAUACAUACACUCACUGGCGACCAAUCACAAGAGACACAUUUUAACCAUAUGCGCUGACCUCUAUUUUUAGCAAAUUUCUCUUUUACUUUUUUUUGUCUCUCUCGCUCACGGUCUCUGUCAGUCUCUUUUUCUCUCGCUCACGGUCUCUGUCAGUCUCUUUUUCUCUCUCUAUCUCUGCUGGUCUCUGUCCAGUCUCUUUUUCUCUCUCGCUCACGGUCUCUGUCCAGUCUCUUUUUCUCUCUCUCUCUCUGCUGGUCUCUGUCCAGUCUCUUUUUCUCUCUCGCUCACGGUCUCUGUCCAGUCUCUUUUUCUCUCUCUCUCUCUGCUGGUCUCUGUCCAGUCUCUUUUUCUCUCUCUCUCUCUGCUGGUCUCUGUCCAGUCUCUUUUUCUCUCUCUCUCUGCUGGUGUCUUUCUCUCUCUCUAUCUCCUAUUCUCUCACUGACAGUGAUUCUCGAUAAAGGGGUGGAGUCAACAAACUCCGCCUUUGCAGUUUAAGUUGUUCUAUUGGUUUACAGUGAUCUCAGUAGCUUGUCUGUUAUGUGAUGACAUCAUUCAUUAAGGGGAGUUGGGUUGUAGAGGAGGGAUGUUUCUUCUGUUCAGAAACUCAUCUGUUGAGUUGAUCAUUUACAAAGACUGUAUUUGGAUCAAUUAAAUGUCAGAAAAAAGUUAUAAAAUAUAUUGAUGUUUAUUUUAACUAAAAUGUCAU